rnacentral:rRNA from 1 species
GACAGAGGAUGCAAGCGUUAUCCGGAAUGAUUGGGCGUAAAGCGUCUGUAGGUGGCUUUUUAAGUCCGCCGUCAAAUCCCAGGGCUCAACCCUGGACAGGCGGUGGAAACUACCAAGCUGGAGUACGGUAGGGGCAGAGGGAAUUCCGGUGGAGUGGUGAAAUGCGUAGAGAUCCGGAGGAACACCAAAGGCGAAGGCAGUGUCCUGGGGAGUACCUGACGCUCAGGUGCGAAAGCCAGGGGAGCGGAACGGG